UACGUAGGGUGCAAGCGUUAAUCGGAAUUACUGGGCGUAAAGCGUGCGCAGGCGGUUUUGCAAGACAGAUGUGAAAUCCCCGGGCUUAACCUGGGAACUGCAUUUGAGACUGCAAGGCUAGAGUGUGGCAGAGGGAGGUGGAAUUCCGCGUGUAGCAGUGAAAUGCGUAGAGAUUCGGAGGAACACCGAUGGCGAAGGCAGCCUCCUGGGAUAACACUGACGCUCAUGCACGAAAGCGUGGGGAGCAAACAGG
rnacentral:rRNA from 1 species